rnacentral:tRNA from 1 species
GGAAGAGAGACGCACCCCGGUGGGGCGCCCGGACUUCAAAUCCGGUGAGGGGCGCGAACAGCGUCCCUGGUGGGUUCGACUCCCACCUCUUCCGCCA